UCAGAACUGAAGAUGUUUCUGGCCAGAGAGUUUGAUUCAUUAAAAGAACACUAAUAGCAACAUAAACUCAUGUGCCUUUACACACACAAAAAUAAUGUUUCCUGAUUCGUAACCCAUGUGGCUGAGAGGGUCUCUUCUUUGUGUUAAGAAGCUAGAAAAGCUCACUUGAGAUCAUCUUAAUGUUCACUUAAUUAAUAAUUGAGAUCCUAUUAAUCCAGAAAAGAGCCAUUUGAGGAUUUUUGCAGACAUUGCAGGUAUGGACUAGGGCUCUGUGUAUCUUCUCACAAUAUUGGAGGAUUUUAUGUGUACAAAGGCCUACUAGGAAUCUUCCGCCCUUGCCUCCUUCUCCCUCACACACCUACAGCUCUGCUUUCCCAAGUAAAAUAUUGGAGUUCCUGCUGUGGCUCAGUGGUAACAAACCCAACUAGUGUCCAUGAGGAUGCAGGUUUGAUCCCUGGCCUUGCUCAGUGGGGUUAAGGAUCUGGUGUUGCUGCAAGCUGAGGCAUAGGUAGCAGACACAGCUCAGAUCUGGCGCUGCUGUGGCGUAGGCCGGCAGGCAGCUACAACUCUGAUUCAACCCCUAGCCUGGGAAUUUCCAUACGCCACAGGAGCAGCCAUAAGAAGGAAAAACAAAAAAUCUGUGUUAAGACCUCAGGAAGUUUUAAGGUGUUGCUUCAUAGACCCUUUCAAGCAUACAAAGACCUGCAAACUAUAAGCUCAGACAGUAGCUUUGCAGAGACUAAGGCAGAGAAGGGCUAAAUGAGAUUUGUGGGUAUGGUUUUGCCUAAUGGAGUGGGUCAUAAAUUGAUUCUUAAGAAGCCUGCAAUGUUUUUUCCUUAAAGAACUAUGAUGAACUUAAAUCAUAAGGGACAUCAGGCCUUCGAAUUCCCAAAGGGCAGGAAGCAGUCUAAGAGAGCAACUCAGCUGCAAAGAUGGGCUACUUUUAGUGGAAAAGGAAAAGUGCCCAAAGGGUAGACUCAAGAGCAGAUAUGGUGAAUGACUUCCAAGAAACAGAACUGAGUCCUCAUCAGGGAACUGGCAGCACACACUCAGGAGGAUUGCAGAACUGCUGUGAGCCAGGGACUACUCUGGGCUCCCCACUUUUCUCCCUUUUGAGCCUAAGUGUCUAUACCUUGACCCACUGCUGUAUUUUGGGUAUGGUGGGGAGAUGGCUUGUCUCUUGAGUCACAGGUGUUCAGAUUGGGUGGAGCUACCCUAGGGGAUAGUAGCCAGGGAGCCUCAGCCACAUGCUACCAUAGGAUCUGGAAGCAUGGAUCGAUGUCGGGAGACAUGUUUCUACAAUAUUUUCUUAGCCACUCUGUUUCUAUUUUCUUUGCUAAAACCUCCAUCUUGUCCUGCCUUACUUUACCCCAUCUUCCUGCUCGAAAAACAGUUGCAGUGCUGGUAAACGACUUAAGCUUAAGAACAAAGACCUAAAGGCAUAAGUUAUUCUUAGGGUCAGCUGAAUGAGGACAGGGAUGCCGGACCUGUGCAGAUGGGCACGCCUGUGCAGAUGGGCAGGGCGUCUGCACAACAUAUGUCCUAUCAAAAUAAGAGAAAGAGGAACCUCAUGGCCCCAAGUGGUUUAUGAAUGGUCAUUAGCAGAAUAUGCAUCAGCAAGGAGAACCAAGGUGCAAACCUAGGCACCCCAGGUUGCCGCAGAUAGACAUGCCCUUUGUGGAAGCACAAUGGUGAUUCUUGAGAUGCUAUGCACAGAUAGCCAAGCUUCCCCAAAUGCUAAUGAUUGUUAAAUGCCUAAAGGUCAGAAUAAAAGCUUAAUCAUCUACCAGCUGUGUGACUUCUAAAAUAAUAAAAGAACUUCUAAAAUAAUACAAAAAACUAUAUCCUACACCUAUAACCCCCUCCUCACUUGACGUCAUCCUAAAGAGCACAGUAAAAGCAGUGUGGUUUCUUGAGGCAGCACUCUUGGUCCCUGAGACCUUGAGUCCCCCAGUUCCCACCUUUACUUAAGAUAAAUGUCUCUGUAUCUUGUUUUAUGUUAACUUUUCCUUAAGUUUCACGGCACCCGUUCUUCCGCCCUCACCUGCUGAGCUGUCUCGGCAGAUGGAGAGGAGGGGGAGUGAGUAUAUCUUACAUGUAGGGGGAAAUGCAAAGAAUUCAUGUCCCAUGGGCCACCUGUGAAGUCUUAAAACAUGCCUGUGAAUUCGUUGAUGUUCUUCCCAACAAAAGAUAGAGCCCAAUUCCCCUUCCCUUGAAAGGGGCUUGCUUCUAACAAAUAGAAUAUGGCAGAAGGGAUCCUGUUUGACUUCUCAGACAAGCUCACAAAAGGGGAGGCAGUUUUGCCUUGUUUCUUUUCUCUUGCCAGGUUUGCUUUGGAAUCCACUGACCCCUGUGGGAGGUGGGCCAGCAGCCACCAGGGAGGGCAGGGUGGAGGUGUUCUGGCCACAGUCCAGCUGCGGUCCCAGCCCAGGGCCACUCUUACCCGGCAACCUGUGAGUAGGAAGGUGAGUUUUCAGAUGUGGUCCCAGCGCAGAGAUGCCACGGGGAGCAAAGACAAACUGUCCUUGCCAACCCCAGCCAAAUUAUAAAUUCAUGAGGAAAAUGAAUGUAAUCAUUGAUUUAAGGCACUACUUUUUGGAGUGGUUUGUUAUGUGGCAACAGAUUAACUGGAUGUUGAUGUGCAAAUACCUGCUAGAAAUAUCCCCAUAUGCAAAUGCAACCUUGUAACAGUCACAAGAUUUUAGGCAUUAUAAAUUAUAAUUUCUUUAUGGUUCCCAGAUUUAUCACUUACUAAUUGUGGGACCUUUAGUAAGUCAGUCUCUUGAACUUCAGCGUCUGCAACUAUAAAAUGGAGAUGAAAGUACUUGUCUUAAAAAAAAUGAUUUAUGUUGUGAGAUAACGGAUGUUAGCUAAAAAAAAGUCAUUUAUGAAUAUUAUCUAGCAACGAGCAAAAGGAUGAUGUAUUGGAUUCACAUGAUUACAAAGAUAAAAAUGUACAGAAAUAGAUGGAUUAGGUUAGUGGAAUUAAAAAUAUUUUUUUCCUUCUAUUUUCCAGAUUUCCUUAAAAUGAUUUACUUUAGUAAUAAAAAAUUAAAAAGUGUUCCCCAAAAUCCCAUUGCACACUCCCAGCCCAAACCCAGGGAAUAAGUCAAUGGUUAUUUCUUCUCAGUCUCCCUGCAGGUUAAACCAGGUAAAUGGUUUGGAAGAGAAACAGUGAUGAAACAGCUUCCUAUCUCUUGGAAUCUGGGGGUCAAUACAGGAUUGACCCCAGAACCCAGAUUACUUGCCUCCCCAGCUAGCACACUAUUUCUUCCACCUGUAACCUCACAGUACUAGUUUUCACCUGUAUAGGCUAAGCCACACGAAAUGCCUUUAUUUAAAUAACUGGAAGUCUCAGCCAUCUGAUCUUAGGAGGCAUAUAAUCCAGUGAUUAGCAGAGUCAGUCAAAAUGCAUGCAUUGGAAACCUGCCUCCAGCACGUAUUAUCUGGGGUUUUUGUAGAUGUGAAUAAUGAUACUGGGGGGAGAUCAUCCUGGAUUACAAGGGUGGACCCUCUAUCCAAAGACACAGACACACGCAGGUCAGGGGAAGAGAGAAGUUAUGUAGCCACAAACCAGGCAAAGUCUGGAGCCACAGAAGCAGGGAGAAGUGGGAACGGAGUCUCUCUUAGAUCCCAGAGGAAGGACAGCCCUGAGGACAACUUCUAGCCCUCUGAACUGCGAUAAUACAUUUCUGUUGUUUUAAGACACCAAGUUUGUGAUGAUUCAUUAUGGCAGCCCUACGAAUAUAAUGCAGUGGAAGAAUCUUGCAAAUCACAAGGAUGAAGGGAAAAAAUUCAAAUGACAAGAAAAAAACCAUUUAAAGCUUUAAAAACAUGUAAUGGAUACUUUGUAUUAUUUAUAGAUAUAUACAUAUUGACAAAAAGCAUAAAGAAAAUGGGAGGGAAUUCCCUGGUGGUCUCAUGGUUAGGAUUUGGUGCUUUCACCACUGCAGCCUAGGUUCAAUCCCCAGUCUGGGAACUGAGAUCCCACACCAACCCACUACACACUGUGG
rnacentral:tRNA from 1 species